rnacentral:rRNA from 1 species
UUGAACUGAAGAGUUUGAUCAUGGCUCAGAUUGAACGCUGGCGGCAGGCCUAACACAUGCAAGUCGAGCGGAAACGAUCCUAGCUUGCUAGGAGGCGUCGAGCGGCGGACGGGUGAGUAACGCGUGAGAAUCUACCCAUGAGUGGGGGACAACCCGGGGAAACUCGGGCUAAUACCGCAUACGCCCUACGGGGUAAAGCAGGGGACCUUCGGGCCUUGCGCUGAUGGAUGAGCUCGCGUCGGAUUAGCUUGUUGGUGAGGUAAAGGCUCACCAAGGCGACGAUCCGUAGCUGGUCUGAGAGGAUGAUCAGCCACACCGGGACUGAGACACGGCCCGGACUCCUACGGGAGGCAGCAGUG